rnacentral:lncRNA from 1 species
CAUCACUUCACUUGAAAUAUAUAGAACUGUUACAUUUUUAGACAAAAAAGCUUAUAAUAUUGCAGUUUUCAAUCUUCAGGAAAAGUCAGAUUGCUACCAUCAAAGUGUAAAGAUAAACGCUUUUGCUUUUCCAAAAGUCACUAUAUCAAGCUCUGCGCUCAUAAUGUGGCUCUCUCUCUCUCUCUGUCUCUCACAGUCUAAUGAAUUGCACAUAGAAGGAGAGUUUCAAGUUGUUGCAAAUUAUGGCUCUAUGCACAAAUUUCUUGCUCUUCAGACAAAACUAAAAGGUAUGUAUAUGUUGCAACAUUGCUUAAAAAGAAGGAAAAAUCUUUGAUGAAAAUGAUUGAUAUCUUUAGAAUUGUAUUAUUUUCACCAUUGAGUUCACAUCUUUCUUCUUCGGGCAUUUCUUGUAUUGAGUUUUGUUUUUGUAUGAACCCAUCAUUUUCUCAUGCCCAAUAUGUUUGGUAAAAUCAUACAAGUUAUGGGCUUCUUUUUCUUUGAUUCAUUUCUGUCUAUGUGUUGGUUUUUUGCCAUAUUUGUUCUAUAAAUAACCCAACCCACCUUAUUUCUCUCUUUUCAUGUGCAAAAUUUUACCAGAAAUAAUGCAAUGUUUUGUCUGAAUUCCUUUCUGUCUUUGCUGUUUUUCUCUGUUUGGAUAAGGGUUUUAUUAAACCAAGCCAAACAUACCGUGUAAACAUUUAUUUAAAGAAACAUACAUUGGAAAAGAAAUUUCCUUCAUAGUUACUUUGGACUUGAUGGGAACUAAUUUGGUCAAGAAUAUCAGUUUGAAAAAUGCAGAUUUUGAAUUAAAUUCACAUUUUGUGUAAUGCAUUUGGUGUUUAAAUUUUAUGAGAUAACUAAAAAUUUCUGUGAACCUCAUUUAUAUCUGGAACCCUAGUUUUCAAAGUAGAAAAAAUCUUUACAUUUCGAUCAAUAUUAACGAAUUAUUCUGAAGGUACAUAUUUUUUAAUCAUACUUUAUACAUGAAGACAGCUAUCUCCCUGUAAUUUGCUGCUGUCAAAAACCAUUUUUGACAGCAACCAAUCCUUGUGAAACAGCUAUUUUCCUGUAUAAAAUUUGUUAAAAAAUAUGUACUUGUAACACUUCUUAUAUUAACAUGUUCCAAUCUCAUUAAUUAAAAUAUGAUCUUCUUUCUUCUGAAAAAGUAAGUCUACACUGGAAAUUUAUGAUUAAUUAAAAGGGGCUUAUUAUAUUUGACUGAAAGGUAAAAGCAAUUCUUUGGGAAAAGCAACCUCGUUAGUAGCCUAAUUAACUGCAAAAAAAAAAAAAAAAAAAAUGCCUCCCUAUAAUCAAUCCACAAACGAAUGAAUGUUAGGCCAAAACAAUCUUCAAUCUUGGGGUGGGGUUUAGUUGCAGUCUCGAAAAAAAGAAGGGCCUCGAAAUUGCUGCCUGUUUGUCAUCUGUCAGGUGCCCUACACCCUCCCCCAAAGCUGAAACAGUUUGAACUUUGAAAUGGGGAUUGGUGAUUGGUGAACGCGAGAAUAGGGGAGGAUAGAAGAGGGAUUUCCUUGAUUUUCAAGGCUAAAAUAGGGAACCAAAACGGAACAGAGUUUGCUUGCGCAAAUCUAGCUAAACUGGCAACAGGACUUUUGGGCCAAGUAGUAUUUAAAAUAGUAGACAAGAGCAUGGGUGGGGGAGGGAUUCUUGGGGCUAGAAUUAGGGCGGUCAAUAGAUAUUUUGGUCGGAAUCCAAUUCGAAUUUGAUAAAAUUAAAGGAAGAUAAAUAUUAGGGGUGGCAACUUGGUGAGUUCUGGUUGGCAAGCUUUCACCCCGACCCACCUUGCUUUAGACGAGGGGCACGGGAUAGGGACAGGACAACUUUUUGCUCCAUUUAAUUUUUUUUUUAUAUUUUCAAAGUUUUGAAUUAUGUUAUUAUUAGAGAAUAAAAUACAAAUUCAAAAUAAGUUUUUAACAGGUAAAUUGUCUAGAAAUAAAGUUAUUUUUAAUCUUUUUUUAUUAUUUUUUUCUUUCACGGGUAGGGCAAGGAUGCCCCACCCCGCGACGGGGCGCCCCGCCUUGUCCCGCCCACUCCCGCCAACCUAUUCGAGAUGGGGUGGAGCGAAUUUUUUUGCCAUCACUAAUAAUCUCUGUUUGAUAAAUCGAUUGAGAUUCGAAUUUAAUAAUCGAUUAACUAAAUGAAGCAAAUUUGGAUAUAGAUCGAUUCGAUCCUAUAACAACUCAAUCCGAUUUAUUAUAAUAAAAUAAUAUAUUUUAUAUAUUACUUCAUAAUUCAUUACACACAAUUUUUUUUAAUAUUAAAACUUGUAUUAUGCUUUAUGACUUUUAAUGAAAAAAUGUCGAAUAUAUCAAAUUAAUUAAUAUAUAUUACACUCCCUCCAUCCCAUUUAUAUAGACUUGUUUUGUUUUUCACACGGAUUAAGGAAUAUUAUUGAAAAAGCAAUUUUUGCCAAUAAAUUGCCUAGUUUACCUUUAUUUAUAUUUGUUCAAUUUCACAAUUAAGUGGAAAAAUGGUUAUAACUAGGCAAAUUAAAUAAGGGUAUAUUAGUAAACGAAUAGAACAAAAUAAGUUUGAUAAAGAAACAUGACUAUAUAAUUGUGACAGGAAAAUAUGAAAUGUAAGCUUAUAUAAAUGGAACGGAAGGAGAAUCCCCUCAUUCCAAUACAAAAUAAUACAUGCAAAACAUUUUCAAUCGGAUAUCUGAUAAACAUAGCAAAUGCAAUANCUCCUUAGAUGGGGGGGCGCAGGACGGGGACGGAGCAAUUUUUUGCUUCAUAUAAUUUUUUUUUACAUUUUUAAAAUUUUGAGUUAUAUUAUUAUUAAAGAAUAAAAUAAAAAUUUAAAAUGAGUUUUUAACGGGUGAAUUGUUUAGAAAUAAAGUUUUUUUUAUUUUUUUUAUUAUUUUUUCCUUCACGGGGCGGGGCAAGGAUGCCCCCUCGCACAUGCAACACCACAAACCCGUUCAGGACUGGAAGGGACGGGAUGAAUUUUUCUAUCAUUACUAAUAAUCUUUGUCCGAUAAUUCGAUUGAGAACCAAAUUUAAUAAUCGAUUAACUAAAUGAAGCAAAUAUGGAUAUAGAUCAAUUCGGUCCUAUAACAACUAAAUCUGAUUUGUUAUGAUAAAAUAAUAUAUUUUAUAUAUUACCUCAUAAUUCAUUACAAACAAUUUUUUUAAUAUUAAAACUUGUAUUAUGCUUUAUGACUUUUAAUGAAAAAAUGUCGAAUAUAUCAAAUUAAUUAAUAUAUAUUAUACUCCCUCCAUCCCAUUUAUAUAGACUUGUUUUAUUUUUCACACGAAUUAAGGAAUAUUAUUUAAUAUUAUUGAAAAAGCAAAUUUUGCCAAUAAAUUGCCUAGUUUACCUUUAUUUAUAUUUGUUCAAUUUCAAAAUUUAGUAGAAAAAUGGUUAUAAUUAGGCAAAUUAAAUAAGGGUAUAUUAGUAAACGAACAGAACAAAAUAAGUUUGAUAAAAAACAUGACUAUAUAAUUGGGACAAGAAAAUAUGAAAUGUAAGUUUAUAUAAAUGGGACGGAGGGAGAAUCCCCUCUUUCCAAUAAAAAAUAAUAUAUGUAAAACAUUUUCAAUCGAAUAUCCGAUAAACAUAGCAAAUGGAAUAUGUAAUUAAUAAUCAAAUAUCUAUUGAAUUAUCGAAUUAGAUGUGAUUGGAUUUAUAAAUUAUUCUUAUUGGAUCGGAUAUUAACAGAUCCAAUCUACUCCAUAUCCGAUCCAUUUAUGGUCUUCGGUGGAGUGAUUACGGGUGGGGUGGUGUGAGGUGAGGAUGACAUAUACAAUGUGUAGGUAUUUAUUGUUUGUAUGCGUACGAAACGCCAAACACAUAUUUUCAUGCUUAUUUACUUGGCCUUAUUAUGUUGAGAGAGACAGUCACCAAUGUAAUCCAAUAAACAUAUACAAACACAAAGCAAAGGCCUCAUGUCCUCAGUCUUUCUUUUCCCACUGAAGAAAUAGGACAACAAUACCUAUCAAAUCCUUUGGAAAAAAUAAAAAAAUUUCUUGAACAAUACAAAAAUGGUUUCUAAUCCCAAAACAGUGCCUUUGUUUUCUCACAUUUCAUAUCUUCAAGAUGAACCAAGAAACCCCUUUAAUUUAUCUUGAAAAUGGGAGUUGAAAAAACCCUUCUUCUUUUUAUAUUUUGUGUUCACAGGGUAACAGGGUUUUGCUGGUGGAAGUUUUGGCAUAUAAUGAAGCCUGAUGGUAGAAUUUCCAAGAAAAUGGUGGUGGAGAAAUUGCCUGUUUUUUCUGGUUCUUUCGUGAGUUGGGCUGGUUUCCAAAAUCCAUAUUUGCUAGUGGGGUUUGGUUUCCUUCUCCUCUUCUGUUACGUAGGUGGCUUUUGACGGCGGCGUUGGUGGUGGUGAUAUUGGCGGGACGGCUCAAUCUUUUUUUAUCUGUAACAUAAAAUUUUCUUCUCCACUAGAUUUGGCAUGUUCAUAAACAAUGGAUUUGCGAAGAGUUCAUAUAAUAACUCAUCAAGGUUGGCUUCUUUAAUUUCUAAUUUCUCAUUUUGUACUUAGCAUUGGACUGAUCUCUUUACUAAUAGCUUAAUGAUUUAGAUUUCUAACCCCUUAAAAUAAUUUAAUUUUUGUAUUUUUUAUAACUAAAUAAGAAUUAGUUUCUGUAUUCUGCAUAUUUUGGCCGUGGAAAAUCAUUGACAUU